rnacentral:misc_RNA from 1 species
CUCAUCGCGGACCGCCCGCACACCCGCUCGCCCGUCAGUGAGUAGCACGAGCACACUCCCGGCGGCCGGCACUUCCAUUCAGAACGUCAAAACCGAAUCGCUAAACAGAUUGAAGCGGCAGCGUUCGAGUGCCUUAUCUAUGCCGAGUGUUGAUGCGGGCCAGUGACCGACGACAAUAUCAUCUAUAGUACACACAGACACUCCCUCAAGAAGUCAAUACACCGUCUGGCUUUUUCGCGACUCUCCUCCACGACAACGCCGAAAGGAAAUCUGAAACGGACAGCCAUCAUCGCAUCGUCAUUCAGCUUUUCGAGGACGGCUCUCGACGUCUAAUACAUAACUACGACAAGUCAUAAGAUAUUAUUUCAAAUAUGUCAUCGUCAUCAAGAUACAGGGAUUCUGGUAAUCCAGAUUGCAAAAUAUAUGUCGGUGAUUUAGGAUCAUCUGCAUCCAAGCAAGAUUUAGAAGAUGCUUUUUCAUAUUAUGGUUCAAUUCGUAAUGUAUGGGUUGCCCGUAAUCCUCCAGGUUUUGCUUUUGUUGAAUUUGAGGAUCCAAGAGACGCAGAAGAUGCAGUUAGAGGUCUAGAUGGCAGAAGCAUUUGUGGUAGACGAGUCAGAGUAGAAUUAUCUAAUGCUGGAUCACGUAAAGGUGCUUAUAGAGGAGGCCCACCUCGUCGAGGACGUCCAUUCCAUCCUGAAGACAAAUGUUAUGAAUGUGGUGAUAGAGGACAUUAUGCUCGUGAUUGUAGACGUUUUAAAGGAGGACGACGCAGGAUGUUCGGCUGAGAGCGUCUCGUCUCGUAGUGUCGAUCGUCGUAGAGCUCUCAACCAAAAUAAUAUAUUUUGAUCUACUUCGAGCAAUGUGUGUUAGUCGUCGGACUACGGCGCAACUAUCUGUCUGUCUGCGUUUAUCGAUGUACUCAGCUACACUAGAACCCCAUCGAGCCCAACCGACCUAAUGAUUUUUAUUCUGAUGCUCUAAUUAGCUAUCGGUGAACGUACACAGACAUUCAGAGACCGAAAGAAUUAUAAUUUAGAUCUGCAUAACGCCACUGGUUGUCUACAUAGCAUUACCACAAUGUCAUUUUAGGAGAAUGUUGAACUUCGUUUUUUUAUGUCAUACACUCCUUCUCGAUCUCGUUCACGAUCAUAUAGCCGUGGUCGUCGUUCUCGUUCAGGUUCGAGAUCUCCUUCACGUUCCCGUUCAAGGUCUGUAUUAACUGGUCGUUCAAUUUCCAAGUCAAGAUCUCGC